rnacentral:misc_RNA from 1 species
CAGCGCACGCUCAAACACACUUGCGUAUGGAUCCGCAUACGGCACACACACAGGGUAACGGGACACGAAAUCCAUCAUGUUUUCUGGGUUUCAUUUUCGCGGCUGGAUUGUUAUGAGUCUUAUCUCGGUCCUUCUCUUCACCGCCGUCGCUGUUCCAGCUGCCUACAUCCCCAAAACAUUCUGGCGCACCAUCUACGUCGCUGUCGUCACGCCAGUGGUAUGGGUAGUCUACAAUGUCGCCCUCUACUUUGUUCUCUGCCGUCCUAUGGCGCACUGCACUAGCAUGUUUAGCCGCGGUGAGUGCUGCAAGACUAAGCACGCUGACGACACAGGCGAUGUCACACUCUUAACGAAGGAGAUGUACCAGCUGAACAACGUCUUGCACUCCCUCAAGUGCGAGACGGCGGAGAUGAAUGCUGCGACGACGCUAAUCAAUAAUCAGCUUGACGGGAAGAUGGCCGACCAAUCGCCGCAGAAGGGCGCCUACAGCUCUUUCACAGAACUGACGCCGACGAUGCGUUCGCCAUGACGCCCCCAACACUUUGUGUGCAGAUACAACGCAAGGUGUGCUGGUCUUUUUUUUUUCUCGUCUCUCUUUUUCCGCACGUUUCGGACGGCAGUGCGCUGCCCGUGUUAGUAAUUGCGCUCUGUCUCUCUGUCUCUGUUUUGUGCCUAUUAUCUUUGCCGUCUCUGUCGGAGAACGAGGGUGGCAUCAACUUUUUUUUUUGAUUGCUCCUUUUUUUUUAAAUGGCUCAUUGGCCACUCUUUGGGUGGCCGCACGCACGUGCGUGCGUGCCCAGGGUGCGUGAGACGUGUUUUGUUUGUCUGUGUCUUUCAUGAUUCAAGUACUGGACUUUUAUAUGUGAAUCGCCCGUUCGCUACCGUCUGAGCACUUUUCUGCCCCGGCUCAUGUUUUGGGUAAGCUUGCUCAGAUGCCGUUUAGCGCAUGAAUGUUUUUUUUUUGUUCGCUUUCCUCCACCACCUUUUUUUAACCUGUGUCUCCCCCGUUGCGUGGCUGUGCCACACCCCCUCUGUUCCUCCGCAGCCUACGUCUUCCUUGGUGACUCGCCGCUCUGCCUCUCCUUGAUCUUCUCAUCCGAGUCUUUUCUCAGCGGCGGCAUUAGACAGACUCCGCUUUCGAGGUCGGUCCUCUCUGUAUG